AAACCCAGGCUGGCUCCACUUAAAAAAAACACCACCACUAAAAAAACAACAACAACCCAACACAACUCUGAUGCCUUGACUGAAUUUUCUGUGCUUUGGGCCAUUUCUUUAUAUUUCCUUUCCUCCACAGGUUCCCAUGUUCAGUCACAUCCACCACCAAGCUCCAGACCUGGUUCAGUCAGGAACUUCUUACAGAAUAUUAAAAGUUUGCGUGGUACAAGUUACUCAGUCCACAAAAAAACAUCUGGAAAGUCCAAAAUGAAGUGUCAUUUCUCUACACAGAUACCUUUACAAAGGAUUUUCUACUAUUUCAAGACAGGCUGAAGUGUGGAAAAUACGCUGAAUGGAGAGGUAAUGGGCCAAGUCUAGGAAGACUAGAACGGGAUCCAACCAAACCAGAAAAGAAAAUUAAAUCGUCACUUUGCUAAGCAAAACUCAAGCCCACAAAAGCAAGAAAAAUCAGCGUCGAGGGUCAAAUGCCAUCCUUCUCUGUGUCUGCUGCCUUUCAGAGAGCCUCCAAAGCAGGGGUGAUUUCACAGGUCACACGCGAUGCCCAGGCACCAUGAGAUGGGUUAAGGAGGGAGUCCCAGCCUUAACUCUGCAUGUCGCUCCUUCUGUGGUUUCAAGUCAGACUCUCAGUGUUAGUACAACCUAUUUUUUGUGGUUUAAUAAAUCACAUACUUUAGCUUAUGUAAUGACUCA
rnacentral:lncRNA from 1 species